rnacentral:rRNA from 1 species
GGGUGAGUUAACACGUGGGCAACCUGCCCUGCAGAUCGGGAUAACUCCGGGAAACCGGUGCUAAUACCGAAUAGUUUGUGUCCCCUCCUGGGGAAACACGGAAAGACGGUUUCGGCUGUCACUGCAGGAUGGGCCCGCGGCGCAUUAGCUAGUUGGUGGGGUAAUGGCCCACCAAGGCGACGAUGCGUAGCCGACCUGAGAGGGUGAUCGGCCACACUGGGACUGAGACACGGCCCAGACUCCUACGGGAGGCAGCAGUAGGGAAUCUUCCGCAAUGGACGCAAGUCUGACGGAGCAACGCCGCGUGAGUGACGAAGGUUUUCGGAUCGUAAAACUCUGUUGUGAGGGAAGAACACGUACCAGCUAACUACUGGUACCUUGACGGUACCUCACCAGAAAGCCACGGCUAACUACGUGCCAGCAGCCGCGGUAAUACGUAGGUGGCAAGCGUUGUCCGGAAUUAUUGGGCGUAAAGCGCGCGCAGGCGGUCCCUUAAGUCUGAUGUGAAAGCCCACGGCUCAACCGUGGAGGGUCAUUGGAAACUGGGGGACUUGAGUGCAGAAGAGGAAAGUGGAAUUCCAUGUGUAGCGGUGAAAUGCGUAGAGAUGUGGAGGAACACCAGUGGCGAAGGCGACUUUCUGGUCUGUAACUGACGCUGAGGCGCGAAAGCGUGGGGAGCAAACAGGAUUAGAUACCCUGGUAGUCCACGCCGUAAACGAUGAGUGCUAAGUGUUUAGGGGGUUUCCGCCCCUUAGUGCUGCAGCUAACGCAUUAAGCACUCCGCCUGGGGAGUACGGCCGCAAGGCUGAAACUCAAAGGAAUUGACGGGGGCCCGCACAAGCGGUGGAGCAUGUGGUUUAAUUCCAAGCAACGCGAAAACCUUACCAGGUCUUGACAUCCCGCUGACCGCCUAGGAGACUAGGCUUUCCCUUCGGGGACAGCGGUGACAGGUGGUGCAUGGUUGUCGUCAGCUCGUGUCGUGAGAUGUUGGGUUAAGUCCCGCAACGAGCGCAACCCUUGAUCUUAGUUGCCAGCAUUCAGUUGGGCACUCUAAGGUGACUGCCGGUGACAAACCGGAGGAAGGUGGGGAUGACGUCAAAUCAUCAUGCCCCUUAUGACCUGGGCUACACACGUGCUACAAUGGACGGUACAAAGGGCAGCCAACCCGCGAGGGGGAGCCAAUCCCAGAAAACCGUUCUCAGUUCGGAUUGCAGGCUGCAACUCGCCUGC